rnacentral:rRNA from 1 species
UACGAAGGGGGCUAGCGUUGCUCGGAAUCACUGGGCGUAAAGCGCACGUAGGCGGCUUCUUAAGUCAGGGGUGAAAUCCUGGAGCUCAACUCCAGAACUGCCCUUGAUACUGAAGAUCUUGAGUUCGGGAGAGGUGAGUGGAACUGCGAGUGUAGAGGUGAAAUUCGUAGAUAUUCGCAAGAACACCAGUGGCGAAGGCGGCUCACUGGUCCGGUACUGACGCUGAGGUGCGAAAGCGUGGGGAGCAAACAGG